GACAGAGGGGGCAAGCGUUGCUCGGAAUUACUGGGCGUAAAGGGCGCGUAGGCGGGAUGGCAAGUCGGUCGUGAAAUCCUUCGGCUCAACCGAAGAACGUCGAUCGAUACUGCUGUUCUUGAGGGUUGCAGAGGAGACUGGAAUUCCCGGUGUAGCAGUGAAAUGCGUAGAUAUCGUGAGGAAGACCAGUGGCGAAGGCGGGUCUCUGGACAGUUCCUGACGCUGAGGCGCGAAGGCCAGGGGAGCAAACGGG
rnacentral:rRNA from 1 species